rnacentral:rRNA from 1 species
AGUGAACGCUGGCGGUAGGCCUAACACAUGCAAGUCGAACGGCAGCACAGUAAGAGCUUGCUCUUACGGGUGGCGAGUGGCGGACGGGUUAGGAAUACAUCGGAAUCUACUUUUUCGUGGGGGAUCACGUAGGGAAACUUACGCUAAUACCGCAUACGACCUACGGGUGAAAGCAGGGGAUCUUCGGACCUUGCGCGGUUGAAUGAGCCGAUGUCGGAUUAGCUAGUUGGCGGGGUAAAGGCCCACCAAGGCGACGAUCCGUAGCUGGUCUGAGAGGAUGAUCAGCCACACUGGAACUGAGACACGGUCCAGACUCCUACGGGAGGCAGCAGUGGGGAAUAUUGGACAAUGGGCGCAAGCCUGAUCCAGCCAUACCGCGUGGGUGAAGAAGGCCUUCGGGUUGUAAAGCCCUUUUGUUGGGAAAGAAAAGCAGCAGGUUAAUACCCCGCUGUUCUGACGGUACCCAAAGAAUAAGCACCGGCUAACUUCGUG